rnacentral:rRNA from 1 species
GGGUCAGUAGGUUGGUCGUGCCACCGGUACGUACUGGUCUCACUGAUUCCUCCUUCCUGAAGAACCGUAAUGCCAUUAAUUUGGUGUUGCGGGGAAACAGGACUGUUACUUUGAAAAAAUUAGAGUGUUUAAAGCAAGCUAACGCUUGAAUACAUUAGCAUGGAAUAAUGAAAUACGACGAUCGAUCCUAUAUUGUUGGUUUCUAGGAUUGACGUA